UUUUUAAAUUAACUUUUUACUCCGACGUAAGAAUGCAGUGUUUUGAUGACCUUCGGGGGGAAUGCCGCGGACGGCAGGGUCGCCCCCAAAGCAACAAGAUGUGUUCACAAAGGGUUGGAGGUCGGACUAUCAAUCCUCACUCGGUAAUGAUCCCUCCGCAGGUUCACCUACGGAGA
rnacentral:misc_RNA from 1 species